rnacentral:rRNA from 1 species
UACGGAGGGUGCAAGCGUUAUCCGGAUUCACUGGGUUUAAAGGGUGCGCAGGCGGGAAAUUAAGUCAGUGGUGAAAGCCCCGAGCUCAACUUGGGAACUGCCAUUGAUACUGAUUUUCUUGAAUAUAGUUGAGGUAGGCGGAAUACAACAUGUAGCGGUGAAAUGCAUAGAUAUGUUGUAGAACACCAACUGCGAAGGCAGCUUACUAAACUAUUAUUGACGCUGAGGCACGAAAGCGUGGGGAGCGAACAGGAUUAGAUACCCCAGUA